AUGCACCAAUACUGUAAAUCGCUCUGGAUAAGAGCGUCUGUUAAAUGACGUAAA
rfam:Salmo salar isolate Sally breed double haploid chromosome ssa07, whole genome shotgun sequence.